rnacentral:lncRNA from 1 species
AGAUAUUUGGGAUGAGGCAGCAUGCUGGUCCCUCAGCAGCAUCCUUAUCACGUCAGCUGUGAGAGAAAUAAAACUGUGAGACUGUGAAGUGUAUAAAGGAUUCUACCGCUCUCCCGGGGCUCGGAGACCCACAGAUUGGAGAAACCCUCUUGCCAUGUGCUACCUUUUGCCAUGUUAUGAAGGGGCCAGAAGGCCCUAACCAGAUGCAGCCCCUCGAACUGGG